rnacentral:ncRNA from 1 species
CCAUGUCCUCCCUAUUUGGGGAGAGCAACAAAGUGAACUGUUCUACGGUGGAAUCAAGCUGCUGUAGUAAAAUUUGGCUAUAUGCUGGAAUAACUCGAGAAUCUGACAGUAGUCGCCUCAGUCGACUGACAAUCUGUUCAGUGGAGUCAAUCAGCAGGAAAGGUCCCGCCUCGGCGGGGAAUCCUCAGAGACUAUACGCCAAACUCCAUUUUGGAGAAGAUAUAGUCCGAACUUUGUGGCGACACAAAG